rnacentral:tRNA from 1 species
GGAGAGGUAGUCAAGAGGUCCAAGACAACGGUUUGCUAAACCGUCGAGGGGUUCACGCUCCUCCGCGGGUUCGAAUCCCGCCCUCUCCGCCA